UUUUAAGUUAAUGCUUUCUUAUAGAGAUGGCGCUUGAUUUGUAGAAAUAGUAGUUUAAUGUUUUAUGUACAUAGUUUUGUUUUUGUAGUUGAUUAUUAUUGAGAAAAGUAAGGUUAAGUUAAUAUAUGGUUUUAACGGGUUUUUAGCACAUGGUUGGUUUUAUAAGAUAUAAGUGAUAGAUGAUGUAUAUAUAUGAAGAUGUAAAUAAAAUGUAUAUAAAGACCUAGAUUGAUUUUAAUCAACACUGCUGUGUAACAAAUAACAACAACUUAACUAAAACGUCGCCAGAAUUUAAAUGGAUGGAUGGAUGAAUGAACAUUAAAUAAAUGUGAAAUAACGCUGUUAUAUAUUUGACAUUUGACAUGAUUCAAAACAACGUGCUAGAAACUGCAUGCAAUACGAUUAAUAUUCAAGUUAUUUGCCGUUAUGCAACGUUCUCCAAUAUAAGGAAUAAAUAAUCCAGCAAGAUUGAAUUCAUCAAAGAAAACGAAAUAAAUUAGUCUUAUAAAAGUGUUUCAGAAGUUAGUGGUAGUGACAUUUGGUCGUUUGUUUAUACAAAAAUACAUAAAAUUUCACAGGUUGAUACAGAUAUUGAGUGAAAAAUACGUUUCUUCCAGUUGGUUUAAUCCUACUGCAAUUAUGUUUUGUGAUUAAUUAAAAAUUAGUACUCAUAUAGUUCAAUCACAUUUUAAAUUUAAUAGCUCCAAGCAUGGAUGAAAGUAAUUAUGAUUUUUGGGAUGAAACAUGCUCUUGUUAGGCUUAUGGAAAUUGAUAAUUUUAAGAUAAUUGAAUGCAUGUGAAAUAAAUAAUUGAUAAAUAAUAAAAAGAGUGGUAUUUAAA